UACGGGGGGAGCAAGCGUUGUUCGGAUUUACUGGGCGUAAAGGGCGCGUAGGCGGUCGUGACAAGUCACUUGUGAAAUCUCCGGGCUUAACUCGGAACGGUCAAGUGAUACUGUCGGACUAGAGUACAGAAGGGGCAACUGGAAUUCUCGGUGUAGCGGUGAAAUGCGUAGAUAUCGAGAGGAACACCUGCGGCGAAGGCGGGUUGCUAGGCUGAUACUGACGCUGAGGCGCGAAAGCCAGGGGAGCGAACGGG
rnacentral:rRNA from 1 species